GCCUUCUUGGCUCAGUUGGCUAGAGCGCAGGUCUCAUAUAAAUAUGACGUAGUAAUCAUAUACUCCGCAAUCCUGAGGUCGCAAGUUCGAGCCUUGCAGAGGGCA
rnacentral:tRNA from 1 species